rnacentral:rRNA from 1 species
CCUACGGGAGGCAGCAGUGAGGAAUAUUGGUCAAUGGGCGGAAGCCUGAACCAGCCAAGUAGCGUGCAGGAUGACGGCCCUACGGGUUGUAAACUUCUUUUAUCAGGGACGAAGCAAGUGACGGUACCUGAUGAAUAAGCCACGGCUAACUACGUGCCAGCAGCCGCGGUAAUACGUAGGUGGCAAGCGUUAUCCGGAUUUACUGGGUGUAAAGGGCGUGUAGGCGGGAGUGCAAGUCAGAUGUGAAAACUAUGGGCUCAACCCAUAGCCUGCAUUUGAAACUGUACUUCUUGAGAGCUGGAGAGGCAAUCGGAAUGCCGUGUGUAGCGGUGAAAUGCGUAGAUAUACGGAGGAACACCAGUGGCGAAGGCGGAUUGCUGGACAGUAACUGACGCUGAGGCGCGAAAGCGUGGGGAGCAAACAGGAUUAGAUACCCUAGUAGUC